rnacentral:misc_RNA from 1 species
GUAGGUGAACCUGCGGAAGGAUCAUUACUGGGUAAAGGCCUCGCGCCUCCAACCCCACCCUUUGUUACCGCGGCCCGGAUUCGGCGCCUGGCGUGGACCCCCCUCUGCUCGCGGAGGGGACCCCGCCUGCCGGAAUCAGCCAACCCUUUUGUAAACUGAAGUCUGAGAACAAGUUAAAUUAAACAAAACUUUCAACAACGGAUCUCUUGGUUCUG